GUGCACGCUGGCGGUAGGCCUAACACAUGCCAGUCGAACGGCAGCACAGUAAGAGCUUGCUCUUACGGGUGGCGAGUGGCGGACGGGUGAGGAAUACAUCGGAAUCUACUUUUUCGUGGGGGAUAACGUAGGGAAACUUACGCUAAUACCGCAUACGACCUACGGGUGAAAGCAGGGGAUCUUCGGACCUUGCGCGAUUGAAUGAGCCGAUGUCGGAUUAGCUAGUUGGCGGGGUAAAGGCCCACCAAGGCGACGAUCCGUAGCUGGUCUGAGAGGAUGAUCAGCCACACUGGAACUGAGACACGGUCCAGACUCCUACGGGAGGCAGCAGUGGGGAAUAUUGGACAAUGGGCGCAAGCCUGAUCCAGCCAUACCGCGUGGGCGAAGAAGGCCCUCGGGUUGUAAAGCCCUUUUGUUGGGAAAGAAAAGCAGCAGGUUAAUACCCCGCUGUUCUGACGGUACCCAAAGAAUAAGCACCGGCUAACUUCGUG
rnacentral:rRNA from 1 species